AGACGGAGGGUCCUAGCGUUGUUCGGAAUAACUGGGCGUAAAGCGCACGUAGGCGGCUUUGUAAGUCAGAGGUGAAAGCCUGGAGCUCAACUCCAGAACUGCCUUUGAGACUGCAUCGCUUGAAUCCAUGAGAGGUCAGUGGAAUUCCGAGUGUAGAGGUAAAAUUCGUAGAUAUUCGGAAGAACACCAGUGGCGAAGGCGGCUGACUGGACUGGUAUUGACGCUGAGGUGCGAAAGCGUGGGGAGCAAACAGAAUUAGAAACCCCUGUAGUCC
rnacentral:rRNA from 1 species